UACGGAGGGUGCGAGCGUUGUCCGGAAUCAUUGGGCGUAAAGGGCGCGUAGGUGGCCCGGUCAGUCUUUGGUGAAAGCGCGGGGCUCAACCCUGCGUCGGCCAGGGAUACUGCCGCGGCUCGAGCACUGUAGAGGCAGGCGGAAUUCCGGGUGUAGCGGUGGAAUGCGUAGAGAUCCGGAAGAACACCGAUGGCGAAGGCAGCCUCCUGGGCCAGCACUGACGCUCAUGCACGAAAGCGUGGGGAGCAAACAGG
rnacentral:rRNA from 1 species